rnacentral:lncRNA from 1 species
UGAGUUACUCAGACACCUGUUGGCAAGUUGUGUUCUUUACCUUGAUUCUUUGCGUCAGUUUUGCAGAGCCACCUCGUUGGUCUUCUCUUCCGGAAGACAGGAUGUGAGGGGAGGGAAUGAAUAAGCAUUGCAGCUUGGCAGAGCCUCACCCCUAAAGCAGGAGCCUCUGACUUGGAGCCUCCAGGCAGGAUACAGCAGAGAAUGUAUUUUAUUUGGCUAAUGCAUCAUCAGUGAAAACUGAAUUUGGAUGUUCUUAGGCAAUGGCGUGCAGCAGCAAGGUCACAACAGAUGAAAGGCGGGAUUCAAUUGAAAAUACAAGAGGACCACAUAGAAGAAGAAAUAUUACCAUUUCUUCCCCUCUGCUUCCCCAUUCUUUU